AACGAACGCUGGCGGCAGGCUUAACACAUGCAAGUCGAGCGCCCCGCAAGGGGAGCGGCAGACGGGUUAGUAACGCGUGGGAAUCUACCCAUCUCUACGGAAUAACGCAUGGAAACGUGUGCUAAUACCGUAUACGUCCUUCGGGAGAAAGAUUUAUCGGAGAUGGAUGAGCCAGCGUUGGAUUAGCUAGUUGGUGGGGUAAAGGCCUACCAAGGCGACGAUCCAUAGCUGGUCUGAGAGGAUGAUCAGCCACACUGGGACUGAGACACGGCCCAGACUCCUACGGGAGGCAGCAGUGGGGAAUAUUGGACAAUGGGCGCAAGCCUGAUCCAGCCAUGCCGCGUGAGUGAUGAAGGCCCUAGGGUUGUAGAGCUCUUUCACCGGUGAAGAUAAUGACGGUAACCGGAGAAGAAGCCCCGGCUAACUUCGUGCCAGCCGCCGCCGUAACAC
rnacentral:rRNA from 1 species